rnacentral:rRNA from 1 species
AGUCGAACGGCAGCGCGGGGUAACCUGGCGGCGAGUGGCGAACGGGUGAGUAAUACAUCGGAACGUGCCCUGUGAUGGGGGAUAACUACGCGAAAGCGUAGCUAAUACCGCAUACGACCUACGGGUGAAAGUGGGGGAUCGCAAGACCUCACGUCAUAGGAGCGGCCGAUGGCGGAUUAGCUAGUUGGUGAGGUAAAGGCUUACCAAGGCAACGAUCCGUAGCUGGUCUGAGAGGACGACCAGCCACACUGGGACUGAGACACGGCCCAGACUCCUACGGGAGGCAGCAGUGGGGAAUCUUGGACAAUGGGGGCAACCCUGAUCCAGCAAUGCCGCGUGCGGGAUGAAGGCCUUCGGGUUGUAAACCACUUUUGGCGGGGGCGAAAUAUCGAGUGCUAAUACCAUUCGGUGAUGACGGUACCCGCAGAAUAAGCACCGGCUAACUACGUGCCAGCAGCCGCGGUAAUACGUAGGGUGCAAGCGUUAAUCGGAAUUACUGGGCGUAAAGCGUGCGCAGGCGGUUAGGUAAGACAGAUGUGAAAUUCCCGGGCUCAACCUGGGAACUGCAUUUGUGACUGCCUGACUAGAGUGCGGCAGAGGGGAGUGGAAUUCCGCGUGUAGCAGUGAAAUGCGUAGAUAUGCGGAGGAACACCGAUGGCGAAUGCAACUCUCUGGGCCUGCACUGACGCUCAUGCGCGAAAGCGUGGGGAGCAAACAGAUUAGAUACUCUGGUAGUCUACGUCCUAAACGAUGUCGACUAGUUGUGGGACGGGUUACUGUUCAGUAACGAGCUACGCGUGAGUCGACCGUCUGGGGAGUAC